rnacentral:rRNA from 1 species
GAUGAACGCUGGCGGCGUGCCUAAUACAUGCAAGUCGAGCGAACGGACGAGAGGCUUGUUUCUCUGAUGUUAGCGGCGGGCGGGUGUGUAGCACGUGGAUAACCUACCUAUAAGACUGGGAUAACUUCGGAACACCGGCGCUUAUACCAUAUAAUAUUUACAACCGCAUGGGUCAAAGGUGAAGGACCGACUCGCUGUCACAUAUAGAUGCAUCCGCGCUGCAUGAGCUAGUUGGUAAGGUAACGGCUUACCAAGGCAACGAUGCAUAGCCGACCUGAGAGGGUGAUCGGCCACACUGGAACUGAGACACGGUCCAGGCUCCUACGGGAGGCAGCAGUAGGGAAUCUUCCGCAAUGGGCGAAAGCCUGACGGAGCAACGCCGCGUGAGUGAUGAAGGUCUUCGGAUCGUAAAACUCUGUUAUUAGGGAAGAACAUAUGUGUAAGUAACUGUGCACAUCUUGACGGUACCUAAUAAGAAAGCCACGGCUAACUACGUG